rnacentral:rRNA from 1 species
GAUGAACGCUGGCGGCGUGCCUAAUACAUGCAAGUCGAACGAAACUUCUUUAUCACCGAGUGCUUGCACUCACCGAUAAAGAGUUGAGUGGCGAACGGGUGAGUAACACGUGGGCAACCUGCCCCAAAGAGGGGGAUAACACUUGGAAACAGGUGCUAAUACCGCAUAACCAUAGUUACCGCAUGGUAACUAUGUAAAAGGUGGCUAUACUACCGCUUUUGGAUGGGCCCGCGGCGCAUUAGCUAGUUGGUAGGGUAAAGGCUUACCAAGGCAAUGAUGCGUAGCCGAAUUGAGAGGUUGAUCGGCCACAUUGGGACUGAGACACGGCCCACACUCCUACGGGAGGCAGCAGUAGGGAAUCUUCCACAGUGGGCGAAAGCCUGAUGGAGCAACGCCGCGUGGGUGAAGAAGGUCUUCGGAUCGUAAAACCCUGUUGUUAGAGAAGAAAGUGCGUGAGAGUAACUGUUCACGUUUCGACGGUAUCUAACCAGAAAGCCACUGCUAACUACGUG